rnacentral:tRNA from 1 species
GGGUAUAGCUCAGUGGUAGAGUGCAUGCUUAGCAUGCAUGAGGUCCUGGGUUCAAUCCCCAGUACCUCCA